rnacentral:rRNA from 1 species
CAGCAGCCGCGGGAAUACGAAGGGUGCAAGCGUUAAUCGGAAUUACUGGGCGUAAAGCGUGCGUAGGCGGUUUGUUAAGUCUGUUGUGAAAUCCCCGGGCUCAACCUGGGAAUGGCAAUGGAUACUGGCAAGCUAGAGUGUGUCAGAGGAUGGUGGAAUUCCCGGUGUAGCAGUGAAAUGCGUAGAGAUCGGAAGGAACAUCUGUGGCGAAGGCGACUAUCUGGGCCAACACUGACACUGAGGCACGAAAGCGUGGGGAGCAAACAGGAUUAGAUACCCGAGUAGUCCCUGUCUCUUAUAC